CCUACGGGCGGCAGCAGUGAGGGAUAGUGGUCAAUGGGGGAAACCCUGAACCAGCAACGCCGCGGGAGGGAAGACGGUUUUCGGAGGGUAAACCUCGGUCCUCGGGGAAGAGAAUGACGGUAGCAGAGGAGGAAGCUCCGGCGAACUACGGGCCAGCAGCCGCGGUAAUACGGAGGGAGCACGCGUGGUCCGGAUUUACUGGGUGUAAAGGGUGCGUAGGCGGCCCAGCAAGUAAGAAGUGAAAUCCAUGGGCUUAACCCGUGAACUGCUUUUGAAACUGUAGGGCUUGAGUGAAGUAGAGGCCGGCGGAAUUCCCGGUGUCGCGGUGCACUGCGU
rnacentral:rRNA from 1 species